AGAGUUUGAUCCUGGCUCAGGACGAGCGCUGGCGGCGUGCCUAAUACAUGCAAGUCGAGCGGACAGAUGGGAGCUUGCUCCCUGAUGUUAGCGGCGGACGGGUGAGUAACACGUGGGUAACCUGCCUGUAAGACUGGGAUAACUCCGGGAAACCGGGGCUAAUACCGGAUGGUUGUUUGAACCGCAUGGUUCAAACAUAAAAGGUGGCUUCGGCUACCACUUACAGAUGGACCCGCGGCGCAUUAGCUAGUUGGUGAGGUAAUGGCUCACCAAGGCAACGAUGCGUAGCCGACCUGAGAGGGUGAUCGGCCACACUGGGACUGAGACACGGCCCAGACUCCUACGGGAGGCAGCAGUAGGGAAUCUUCCGCAAUGGACGAAAGUCUGACGGAGCAACGCCGCGUGAGUGAUGAAGGUUUUCGGAUCGUAAAGCUCUGUUGUUAGGGAAGAACAAGUACCGUUCGAAUAGGGCGGUACCUUGACGGUACCUAACCAGAAAGCCACGGCUAACUACGUGCCAGCAGCCGCGGUAAUACGUAGGUGGCAAGCGUUGUCCGGAAUUAUUGGGCGUAAAGGGCUCGCAGGCGGUUUCUUAAGUCUGAUGUGAAAGCCCCCGGCUCAACCGGGGAGGGUCAUUGGAAACUGGGGAACUUGAGUGCAGAAGAGGAGAGUGGAAUUCCGCGUGUAGCGGUGAAAUGCGUAGAGAUGUGGAGGAACACCAGUGGCGAAGGCGACUCUCUGGUCUGUAACUGACGCUGAGGAGCGAAAGCGUGGGGAGCGAACAGGAUUAGAUACCCUGGUAGUCCACGCCGUAAACGAUGAGUGCUAAGUGUUAGGGGGUUUCCGCCCCUUAGUGCUGCAGCUAACGCAUUAAGCACUCCGCCUGGGGAGUACGGUCGCAAGACUGAAACUCAAAGGAAUUGACGGGGGCCCGCACAGGCGGUGGAGCAUGUGGUUUAAUUCGAAGCAACGCGAAGAACCUUACCAGGUCUUGACAUCCUCUGACAAUCCUAGAGAUAGGACGUCCCCUUCGGGGGCAGAGUGACAGGUGGUGCAUGGUUGUCGUCAGCUCGUGUCGUGAGAUGUUGGGUUAAGUCCCGCAACGAGCGCAACCCUUGAUCUUAGUUGCCAGCAUUCAGUUGGGCACUCUAAGGUGACUGCCGGUGACAAACAGGAGGAAGGUGGGGAUGACGUCAAAUCAUCAUGCCCCUUAUGACCUGGGCUACACACGUGCUACAAUGGACAGAACAAAGGGCAGCGAAACCGCGAGGUUAAGCCAAUCCCACAAAUCUGUUCUCAGUUCGGAUCGCAGUCUGCAACUCGACUGCGUGAAGCUGGAAUCGCUAGUAAUCGCGGACCAGCAUGCCGCGGUGAAUACGUUCCCGGGCCUUGUACACACCGCCCGUCACACCACGAGAGUUUGUAACACCCGAAGUCGGUGAGGUAACCUUUUAGGGGCCAGCCGCCGAAGGUGGGACAGAUGAUUGGGGUGAAGUCGUAACAAGGUAGCCGUAUCGGAAGGUGCGGCUG
rnacentral:rRNA from 1 species